GGGAGUGUAGCUUAGUGGUAGAGCAUGCACUUAUUAUAAACAUGUAUAAGGUCUUGAGUUCAAUUCCCAGCAUUUCCA
rnacentral:tRNA from 1 species